rnacentral:rRNA from 1 species
UACGUAGGUGACAAGCGUUGUCCGGAUUUACUGGGCGUAAAGAGCGCGCAGGCGGUCGAUCAAGUCGAGUGUGAAAGCCCCCGGCUCAACUGGGGAGGGUCAUUCGAUACUGAUCGACUCGAAGGCAGGAGAGGGUAGUGGAAUUCCCGGUGUAGAGGUGAAAUUCGUAGAUAUCGGGAGGAACACCGGUGGCGAGGGCGGCGAUCUGGGUCGAUACUGACGCUGAGGUGCGAAAGCGUGGGGAGCAAACAGG